AACGAACGCUGGCGGCAGGCCUAACACAUGCAAGUCGAGCGGAUGAGAGGAGCUUGCUCCUCGAUUCAGCGGCGGACGGGUGAGUAAUGCCUAGGAAUCUGCCUAGUAGUGGGGGACAACGUUUCGAAAGGAACGCUAAUACCGCAUACGUCCUACGGGAGAAAGUGGGGGAUCUUCGGACCUCACGCUAUUAGAUGAGCCUAGGUCGGAUUAGCUAGUUGGUAGGGUAACGGCCUACCAAGGCGACGAUCCGUAACUGGUCUGAGAGGAUGAUCAGUCACACUGGAACUGAGACACGGUCCAGACUCCUACGGGAGGCAGCAGUGGGGAAUAUUGGACAAUGGGCGAAAGCCUGAUCCAGCCAUGCCGCGUGUGUGAAGAAGGCCCUCGGGUCGUAAAGCACUUUAAGUUGGGAGGAAGGGCUUACAGCGAAUACCUGUGAGUUUUGACGUUACCGACAGAAUAAGCACCGGCUAACUUCGUGCCAGCCGCCGCGGUAA
rnacentral:rRNA from 1 species